GCGUUCAAUGGUAUUACCAAUGGUAAUUAAUAAUAAUUUUAUGUUAGCAAGUCGGCAACAAUAAUCCUUUAUGUGUACUCCUAAAUUGGAUAACAAUACAUACAUACAAUAAGAAGUAUCAUUAAAUUCCUAAGCACUAGUUCUCUUCUGGAAAUGAUUACAUUGUUUACACAGAGGGAGAGAACUAGCAGCCCACCAAUUGUUUUUUGUUUUAUGCAUAUCUCCCCCAAAUCCCCUCCCUUCAACAAACAAUUUCUCCAACCUUUUUCAUCCAGGCCUCUAAUAUAUGUGCGUUCUCUAUUAAACCUUUUCUCCACCUACUUGAAAUGCCAAGCUCACCAAUGUAGUAAUCAUCUCUGUUUUACCCCAGCCACCAAUGCACCAUUACAAAUCAAAAAAUUACAUCAUCACGCCUUUUCUUUGGAUUUGCUUCUGGAUUUCCUUUUCUCAUCAUUGCCACGAAUUCAUCAUAGUUGAUUCUUCCAUCAUUAUCAGCGUCAACCUCAGAAAUUAUUUCCUUUAUGUCCCUCCCAUCAUGCAUUCCGAAAUCGCGAAGAGCUUGCUCUAGCUCUUCAGUGGUGAUAUACCCGCUGUUAUCUUUAUCAAAAUGCUGGAAGGCUGUGUAAAGAUGUUCUUCUCUAUCCAUUCUGUUCAAAUGCAUUGUUGCUGUGAUGAAUUCAUCGUAGUCAAUGGUUCCAUUACCGUCUGCAUCAGCAGCUUCCAUCAGUUGUUUCACUUCAUAUUCUGAUAGCUUUGUCCCUUGCGUGGCAAGUCCGUGCUUCAGCUCUUCAAGUGUUAUGGUACCACUGUUGUCAGUGUCCAUGCCCUUGAACAUCUCCUUCAAUCCCAUAAUUUCUUCCUCUGAUAGACAGCCAGCAAUAACCCUUAGAGCAACUUUCUUGAAGUUAUUCAUUGCUUUGAAUUGCUUGAGCCUACUCAAUACUGCAUUGUCAAGAGGAGUAUCAGGAGCUUCUCCAUCCUCCUUGAUCCAUGGAUGACUUAGAACCUGGAUGGCUGUCAACCUCUGUUUGGGGUCUGAAUUUAGCAUUUUCCGAACAAGAUCUUUAGCUUGAGGUGAAAUUGACGGCCAUGGAUCGCUUGUAAAAUCAAUAUGGCUACGUAAAAUUGCAUUGAAGAUCCCAUGUUCAGAUUCAGCCCAAAAUGGUGGAACACCACAAAGAAGAAUAUAUAACAUGACCCCAACACUCCAUAUGUCAGCUUCUGGUCCAUAUUUCCUCUUCAACACUUCAGGGGCUAUGUAAUAUGCACUGCCAACAAUGUCCUUGAAUACCUCUCCUGGCUUGUAGAAGACGGAGAGCCCAAAAUCUGUAGCCUUGAGGGGGGCGUUCUCGUCCUUACUGAGCAGAAGGAAAUUCUCAGGCUUGAGGUCUCUGUGG
rnacentral:misc_RNA from 1 species